CAGCCGGUUAAUGACUUCAUCAAAAUUUAACUUUCAAAAUAAUAUCGUUACACCCUAAGUGUAAUAAAACAUAAACUAAUAAAAUGUAGGACUGUAAAUUUAACAUCAGGAAACUAUCUGACCAAGAGCAACUGGCAUCAAUUAGGUCACGGCAUGUCAUGUGAUUAUUCACAAGCAUGUCGCCCCGAGCGCGGGGCAAAUCGAACGUCAAAAUGACGCUGAACACAACAAGCUUCAAACAUUUUCUUCAUGAGAAUGGUCUUCUCGUCUAUACAGUUUUAACAUUUUUAGCAGUUGUAGGAAUAUACAUGGUAACUAGUGACUGGAAAGGAUUCACCAGCCCGGAAGAGGUAGAUCUUGGUUAUUUGCGAGUAUCUUCGCAUGCCCAUGUUCGACGAAAACACUAUCGUGCCCAUAGGCGUUAAUGGUAUCGCACUAACGUGCUUUUGUUGCUUAAAUAUAAUAUAAUAUGAUACAUAACGCUCGCAUCUUUAAUAUAAUACGAAAUAGCAUAAUUUGGACACAUUAAAAAUUAAAUUGAUUCAACUACCUGAAUUUCAAAUACUUAAUUUUAAAUAUUUUUAGAUUUCUAAUGAAACUAGCUGUAUAUAAAUGUAAUAGUGAACGCUUAUUGUAAUAUAUCUGGUCAUUAAAUCUCAAAUAAUAUUUAUGUA